AUACCUGCUUGUCAGAGGAAAUACCACGAUCACGAAGGAAGUUUUCCCAGGCGGUGCUCAUCCAUUGCACGCCGGAUACGCCAACCCUUGCGAUUUCCCCACUUGUGGGAAACUUGACUGCAUAAUUUGUGUUAGUGGGUAUUGCGUUCGCGGUUUCCCUGA
rfam:Loxodonta africana unplaced genomic scaffold scaffold_60, whole genome shotgun sequence.